rnacentral:lncRNA from 1 species
GAGAAAAAAAUUCUUAGUAACAUUUCAUAAUCAAAACCAAAACUAGAAAUAUCAUCAAAUAUAUUACAUAAGAAUAUUAUAGCUAACUUCAAAGUAUAGUACCUCCGUGUACACAUCUUCAAAAAUAUCUAAAUGAGUAUUGCAUCAAUAAUCAUAUAGUCGAAAUACAAGUUGGUUUCGUCAUGUUGCACAUUCAACUGUGGUAUCCAAAAACCUGCAAACAUAAGCACAAUUCAAAUUUUAUUACCCGAACGUAAAUCUAAUAAGAUCCUAAAAGAAUUUUAACAACAUAACUAUUUAACUACUCAUAAGCUAAAAUUAACGAUUAGAAAAUUAAAAUAUGGCUCACUUAAGUGCAAAUAUUAUAUAUUGGUAACUAGUGCAAAGACUAAGUUUAUCAUUCACAAUUUCUAUAUAAGAUAAUUGGGAAUUGAAAGUUCGAAGCUAGUUUGCAAAUACCUAGUUUUAAUGCAGAACAUGGCCAGGAAAUCCAUUAAACAUAUCAAUCGAAACAGCCAAGUAUUGCUAGAAUGAAUCGUUUACAUGAGUUGAAAAGUGUGUAAAAAAUACCUAGUUUUAGUCUCAAGCAGCUCAGUCCAGCUGACCAAAUCUCAUGACCUGAUUCCACAUGUGUGAGAUACAGUCUGAACAAAUAAGAUACUUUAGCAAUCAGAUGAUCAAGGCUUAACUAAAAAGCAUAAACGUAAGCUCAAAUAUUGAUAUAAACAUUGACUUUUGAUGUAAGAGGUUAUGCAUUGACAUUAACAAUGAAUGUAUACAGCCACAGCCUAAAGAAGUCAAAGAACUUGUCUCUUCAAGAAAAAUAACAAGUCAACUUUACAUUCUAAUAAUUUGUAUUUAAACGGAAAUUGGAAGAAUCCAACAUAUCAAAAUAGAUAUCCAAUAAUAAUAGGAAGACUAUUUAUCAUCAUAUCUUCUAGACAUCACAACCAUGGGUCCAAUUAUUUUGAUGUAUGGGCAUAGUACAAGAAAACGGUGUUCUCCAUAUAGCCCAGAGGCUAUUUUGAAACUGAAUAAUUGUCUUAAAAUGGAUUCAAGGGGUCAUCCAUGUGAGAAGUAGGGCAUACACAUUCCUACAACAUCCACAAACUAUCUCUUAUCUAAAUCUCUUAGAAUCUCAUGAGAUAUUUUCAGUUUGCCCAGUUGCCUCAUAAAAUUAAUCUAACAAUAUAUAAGCAACAAAUGGCAUUAAAACCAUUAAUGAAAACCUCUCCAUUUAAUACCUCAUCAAACAUUGUAGUUAGGGAUGCUUUCCUUCGCAACUAGCCAAGUAAAACAGUCACAAAUUGAGUCAAAAAGUUCUGAAUGCAUAGAAGGAAAAAAUGGAAGUAAAUCUUAAUCAAUUCAUUCUUAAUAAAUCAAAUUGAAAGGAAUCAAUGACGGUUCUCGUAAGCAAAGAUUAUCCCCGAACAAUGUAAGAUGAUUUUACUAAAUCUAUUAAGAAACUAGUGAAAUGAUUCCGACCUAACAAUUUAUCACUUACGAGAAAAAAGCGAACUAUAUUAGGAGAAUCCCUUAAUUUGAGAAACAAUGCUUUUCUGCAAACGAUUAAAGAUAAAAACAAUACCUUAAACAACAGUUCUGCAACUUCGCCCAAUAGCCUCUACCGCCGCCGCCGGUGAUGAAGUCGUCAAAUAAGCAGGUGUUGGAGGUGAUAUUGUGGUGUGCGAUGCGGUGGUGUGCGAUGGUCGAAUCGGAAAGGGCUGCGACUGUGUGUGCGAUGGUGGAAUCACGGCGGCGACUGUGUGCACAAUGUGUAAAAUGAAACCCUAGGCACUUCUUUCG